UGCUGACUGCGGGGCAGGCUGCUUUCCCUCAUUCUUUUUUGUUACUGGUGCUUAUAUGAAAUGCUUACCCCCCACUGGUUAACAUUAUAAAGCCUCCCCUGGGGAGGAGGGACUCCCAAAAUUAUAAGAAAGGAACGUUCAGGUUCACAUGGAAAGACCUUAAUAAAUUAUCACCUAAUAAUAUCACAAGCCCUGGCCAUCGCUGGUUUAUCGGUCCCAAGCACCC
rnacentral:lncRNA from 1 species